GAUGGUCAGGUGUAUUUUUUGAUUAAUAGGUGCAUUCAGUUUGGAAAAGACAGCUUUUCAUUAACGUCCCACGUAAAGGAAUAUGGCCUAUACGGUACGUACGCUGCUGCGUGGUCAUAUUUGUUCCUGUGAUCUUACUGUAUUUUCAAAGUUUGGAAAUAUACAUACCGUGUGCUUUGCAAUUGUUUUAUGCUUCCUGGAAUUUGGGGAUUCACGAGAGACUUGAGGUUAGAGUUCUGCAAGAGAGAAGACACUACAUGAUUGCAGCUGCUACAUCAAGAACCCAAGCCCCAGUCAAGGUUGUGAAUACGACUUUGGAUGAGAUUGAGAAGGCCCAGUGGACGGUUGGUCUUGAAGAGUGGCAGUGUAUGGACUUGAGGACCUCUGCAGACCAUCAGAUCAAAGGAGGAGAGCUGUUUUGCGUGGUUUUUUGUUGUUGUUGUUUUUAUAGCGUUUUGCUUUUUCCUGGAAUGUAAUUUUCCUAUGACAUGUUAACCGGUGCACAUCGUGUAACCUGUCUGGUGAGCAACCUACAAUUGGGAUGAGUUCUAGGUGAGGAAACUUCAGCCGAAAACAAAAGAGAAAACGAGCCUCAGAACCUUGCCUGGAAGAAUUCAACUGGUGCCAAAGCUCUGUCACAACAUCAGUAGCUCUUGGUGCGCCGUCUGCUUCCUCGACCCCCAGCAGGCACAUCGGUCAUGAUGGUUUUCGAACCAAUGGUUCAGAAUGCUGAGUACUCGAGAGAGGGCUAUAGCAACAAGCGUGGGACUGAGUUUCUGGCCUCACAGAAUGUUCCAUGACAGACCCUCUUUGACUGACAAGGUGUGAGGUGUCGCUCAGGCUGAGUGAGAUUCGGGGGCCUGAAUGCAGGCAUCCACCCUCUGCUCAGGUCCCAUGUUCCAGAUGUCUUCUGGACACCAACCAGUGGAUGUCAUAGGAUGGAUUCACCUCUUUGUUGAUGUAUUCAUCCAGUGUGUUUUGCUGGCGAUAUACUAGGUCCUUGGGACACCAAGGAGCAGUUGGCUCCUUGGUACUGGAGUCAUUGAUUCAUUUGUUCAAGUAUUCUUUGAAUAGGUACUGAAGACUUAGCAUGCGCCAGGCCUGGAGUAGACAUGACAGCCAUCCUCUUGCACAGCUGCUGCCUUCAGAGGGUUUGCACCCUAGUGGGUGAGAUGGCCACUU
ensembl:lncRNA